ACCGCCCCGCCCCGGCGACCUUGCCUGCUGGCCGCGUAUCUUCAAGUAUGGCCGAAUCGAUCCCCAGCUAUGGUUAAUUUCCUUUUAGGGUUUGGAUGUCUUGGAACAUCUUCUGUGAUAUGAUUGGCUUGGUCUUUGUGUAAUCGAACUUUGAUACUCCUAUCUACUACUAAUCGAGUGCAGCCGUGAGCUGAAUCGCGUUAAUUUGGGGGAGAAUUUUUGUUGCUUCUUCUUAUCUCUCGUUACUGAUUAUCUAUCCGUACCUUAGAUCAGAAGAUUGGUCUAUAUACAGAUAUCCAUAGGUAAAUAGGAAGAUCGAUCCCCCGAUGCGCUGUACUGCGAAAUUAUAUGUAGAACGGGAAAUUUUCCGUGGGGAUUUGCAUCAUCCAGGCUAGUUCUUGAAUCUGAAUAUAAAACGUCUGUCUCCCUCUGUAGUAAAGUCUGAUUUAUACUUCUCUUAACCACAAAGCCGGUUGUACAGAUAGAGAAUCCCUUGUCUGUCUAUCCCUUGUCUGUAACGAUAGUUUUAUCCUACGUGGCAUGUUGAUUUUGUCUUCAGAUCGUUAGGAUCGGCCAUGAAUGCAAAUUCUUUUAGAACUGCUAGCGUACGGCAUACCAUACAAAUGGUAUAACAUUAAUGUAUGUGCCUCCGCACUUCCUCGCUCUGCUGUACAUCGCUCGCCAUACGCAACUAUCCUGUGAGACUAAGUGGUAUCACAUUCUGGUUCUAACUCGUAUUACAUGAUGUUAGCAUGUAUCAAUAGGUAUAUAAGUAAGAAUCGAUAGGUAGCACUUAAUCCCAUAUGGAAAUUUGGAUUAUACUAAUUUGUAUCAACAGUUGUUAGAUGAUACCAAAAGAUAAAAAAAAGUAUUAACAUGUAUCAGUCCAUUAGGCUCUAAGUGGUAUCAUGGUACCAGAAUGUAUCACAUGAUAUCAAAAGGUAUCAACAUGUAUUAGAUGACGACGGCGGCAGCCAACCCUCACUUCAUGGCGCACGAUCAGAUGGCUACGGACUCCUUCCUCCUCCGGCGAACCCACCGUCGUCUGGUCUGGUAGCCACACGCACGGGGAGAAGAAAGCGAAGAGAAGGAGAUUCGUGUGUGCGGGCGCGUGGUGUGAAUGCGGGGAGAUGCGAGCGGCAGAAAGCAGGGGAGGAGAGACGAGUACGAUGUCGACUAGUCGCAUAGCAGCAAAGGCGUCUGCGACAAAAUUCAUUUAAUGAUCCCAUUCUGUUCCAAACAGAAUGCCGUUCUUUAGUUUUUUUAAAUUCUUUUUGUUGCUAUAUAUGGCUCAAACUGUAAAAGUUUUAAUUGAUUAUAUAACCAACACUUACGAGGGCUGACUCAUAAGUAACUAAAGAUUGAAACAUAAAAUAACUAAAAAUGGUUUGCUUUAUAUAGCCAAAUAGCCAACAGCUUCAAAAUGGUCUAUAGAUGAUAUAAUACUUUUUUUCCUCGGAGCACUCCAGUAAGUGGUGUGAACUGUAAUGCAACAUUAUGCCGUCCUAUCGCCGUAUGUAUAGGGACUACGGCUAUUACGACAUCUAUAAUGUAGCCGAGUAGCGUGCGGUAAGCAUUAAAUAUAAUAUAAGAUGUUUGACUUUUUUAAUUGCAAUGUUUGACCAUUUGUUUUAUUCAAAAAAUUAUAAAAAUAUUAUUUAUUUUGUUUGUGACUUACUUUAUUAUCAAAAGAACUUUAAGCACGACUUGUCAUUUUUUAUAUUUAUACUAAAUUUUUGAAUAAGACGAAUGGUCAAACGUUGCAACAAAAAAGUUAAACAUAUUACAUUAUAAAACAGAGACAGAGGUUGCAUCUUAUUACCUAGUAAUAACCACUGUGGAGGUAGUGAACAAGUAAUAUUGCAUUAUAGUGGCCCCACAUUACUUCCCAGAACGUUACCUUUGACACAUCAAGUUGUGACUCCUAGAAAACUUGUGAAUUUCUCCAAAGUAGGCCCCACAUUACUUCCCACCCCCUCCUUAAACAUUGUGGAUGAUGUAAAUAGCUACUACUACGUUGCUACUAUGGACAUACCAAGUCCGGUAGGAUAUAUUGAAGAUGCCCUGGAGCAAGAGUGGAUCCAACGGUGGGUCUAGGGGGCUCUAGCCCCUCUACACGCUGGAUCUCCCAUGGAAAAUAGGGGAGAGAGGAGGAGGAAGAAGAGAGGAGGAAGAAAAAGGUAACCAGCCUUCAGAUUCUGGAUCUACCACUGCCCUGGAGUAUUGAUGUGUUGCAGCUACCCAAGAUCGCAACAUUCCACGGCUCUAGGCAUAUGGGUCUCAAGGGAAAUUCCGAGGAAUCCAAACAACGCCACGCAUACCCAUGCACACGUUUGCGUUCAUCCUUCAUCCUUUCCAGUGUGAACUGCAUGGCAUAAAGAACACGUAGGGGUUGUUUAGUUUGCAAAAAAAUUUGCAAAAAUAUCCCAUCAAAACUUUAAACACACAUUUAAAGUAUUAAAUAUAAUCUAAUUAUAAAAUAAAUUUCAGAUUCUGUCUGGAAACCGCGAGACGAAUCUUUUGAGUCUAAUUAAUCCGUCAUUAGCAUAUAUUGGUUACUGUAGCAUUUAUGGCUAAUCACGUUCUAAUUAGACUCAAAAGAUUCAUCUAACUAUUUCCUCCAUAACUGUGUAAUUAGUUUUAAUGAUUAUAUAUAUUUAAAACUUCAUUUAGAUAUCCAAAGAUUUGAUGUUAUGUUUUUAGGAAAAAAUUUUAAGAACUAAACAGACCAGUAGUCGAUGCCAUUCGUAGGGAAUAUGACAAGUAGUGGAUGUAUAUUCUACACGAUAUUUGUAUGGCCAACACAUUUUUUAAGUAAUUAAUCAUCUUACAUUUCUAUUGUCGUUAACGUCCUUUUGUUUCAAACACCGACUUUACAAGUUUUGCUAUAGUACCAAGUUUCAUACAUGUUUGAGUUCUAAAGAACUUGAUUAUGUCAUAAAUAUUUGGACCACCACCGGAUACACAUUAUGUGGUGGAUUACUUAGUGGUAGGAAGCCCCUGAUUCUACCCAAUCGAAGCAGCCAUUUCAAGCGGACGAUGCCACCCCUCGGUGGUCAGUAUAUGACAAAUACCCAGUAGAUCCUCUCACCUAUUCUACUCACCAGAUUAGGCAGCACCAUUGAGGACAUGUAGUGAGAGGUGGCCAACAACCAUGAGCUUUCCAAGAGUAUCCAUAUUAGAGAAGGAAUCCAUGUGCUUGACUGAUGCCACUAUGGAACGACCGUUCAUUGUGUUUAUAUGGCGAUCCAUGUCAUUUUUGGGCAUCUCAGUUUAUAGAAACUAACGACAGGAGGUAUGAAGAAUGCCCAAACUAUUCUCGUGAGGUAUGGACUGUACAUCACUGCUUUCCCAACAUUUCAUACAUGUAACAAUCUAUUGAAGUAUCAUCAUUGAAUGGGUUGACAUAGAAAAUGCUGAGUUCUACCCUAAACUUUAAUUCAGCCAAGGGCAACGGUUUUUCAUAAUGAAUCACUCGAAUGAUACACGAGGCGAACGGUGUGACUAGAGGGUGCAACCUCGAAUAUAAUGUUACAGCCAUGUCUCGAACUUCCAUUGUGCUCUUGCAGCAAAUGUUGCAUGGUCGUGUCUAUAAGAGAAAAGAAUUUGGAUUGAAGGUUCUUUGCUUGUCCAUGCAUUAUUGAUGACAAUUUUAGGGUAACUUCACAGACUAUCAGUACAUUGUGACUAGUUGACUACAUUUUGUUCUCACCAAACGUACAAUAAAUUUGACUGCAUUUCUACCUGCAGGAACCUUUCAGUAUGUGUGAAUUGACAGAAUGGAUACACAUAAACAAGUCAUGGUCACCGCCUACGGGAGAGCCUGAAACUACUAAGGAAUAAAAUCAUGCUAAAUUGGAGUUCAAAAGAAGGGGAGGCAAGGCUGAGAUACAUACUCAUCUACAUCUACAUUAGUACUCCGUCAUAACAUGUUGUCUGCUCUGUCAUUUGUUUCCCAUGAAUGUCCUUGCCAUGGCUUGUACAAUCAUCAGUACUCGUAAUAUGAUUUCACAAUAUUGUCUAAAUAAUGUCUGCAUAUCAACAUACUAAUCAACAACUAUCUUGUUAGUGAUGAAUUAUUCUUCUACCAUUAACAUUGAGUUUUGUCAAUAUUAUUU
rnacentral:lncRNA from 1 species